rnacentral:rRNA from 1 species
GACGAACGCUGGCGGCGUGCUUAACACAUGCAAGUCGAACGAUGAAGGAGGAGCUUGCUCCUCUGGAUUAGUGGCGAACGGGUGAGUAACACGUGAGCAAUCUGCCCUUGACUCUGGGAUAAGCGCUGGAAACGGCGUCUAAUACCGGAUACGACCCUCGGAGGCAUCUCCUGUGGGUGGAAAGAACUUCGUCAAGGAUGAGCUCGCGGCCUAGCAGCUUGUUGGUGAGGUAAUGGCUCACAAAGGCGACGACGGGUAGCCGGCCUGAGAGGGUGACCGGCCACACUGGGACUGAGACACGGCCCAGACUCCUACGGGAGGCAGCAGUGGGGAAUAUUGCACAAUGGGCGCAAGCCUGAUGCAGCAACGCCGCGUGAGGGACGACGGCCUUCGGGUUGUAAACCUCUUUUAGCAGGGAAGAAGCGAGAGUGACGGUACCUGCAGAAAAAGCACCGGCUAACUACGUGCCAGCCGCCGCUGUAAGAC